UGGGGAAUAUUGGACAAUGGGCGCAAGCCUGAUCCAGCCAUGCCGCGUGUGUGAAGAAGGUCUUCGGAUUGUAAAGCACUUUAAGUUGGGAGGAAGGUCAGUAGCUUAAUACGUUGCUGAUUUGACGUUACCGACAGAAUAAGCACCGGCUAACUCUGUGCCAGCAGCCGCGGUAAUACAGAGGGUGCAAGCGUUAAUCGGAAUUACUGGGCGUAAAGCGCGCGUAGGUGGUUAUGUAAGUUGGAUGUGAAAUCCCCGGGCUCAACCUGGGAACUGCAUCCAAAACUGCAUGGCUAGAGUACGGUAGAGGGUGGUGGAAUUUCCUGUGUAGCGGUGAAAUGCGUAGAUAUAGGAAGGAACACCAGUGGCGAAGGCGACCACCUGGACUGAUACUGACACUGAGGUGCGAAAGCGUGGGGAGCAAACAGGAUUAGAUACCCCCGUAGUCCCUGAGCGGGCUGGCAAGGCGCAU
rnacentral:rRNA from 1 species